ACGGGUGAGUAACACGUGGGUAACCUGCCCAUCAGAGGGGGAUAACACUUGGAAACAGGUGCUAAUACCGCAUAAUUCAGUUUACCGCAUGGUAGAGUGAUGAAAGGCGCUUUUGCGUCACUGAUGGAUGGACCCGCGGUGCAUUAGCUAGUUGAUAGGGUAAUGGCCUACCAAGGCAACGAUGCAUAGCCGACCUGAAAGGGUGAUCGGCCACACUGGGACUGAGACACGGCCCAGACUCCUACGGGAGGCAGCAGUAGGGAAUUUUCGGCAAUGGACGAAAGUCUGACCGAGCAACGCCGCGUGAGUGAAGAAGGUUUUCGGAUCGUAAAACUCUGUUGUUAGAGAAGAACAAGGAUGAGAGUAAAAUGUUCAUCCCUUGACGGUAUCUAACCAGAAAGCCACGGCUAACUACGUGCCAGCAGCCGCGGUAAUACGUAGGUGGCAAGCGUUGUCCGGAUUUAUUGGGCGUAAAGCGAGCGCAGGCGGUUCUUUAAGUCUGAUGUGAAAGCCCCCGGCUCAACCGGGGAGGGUCAUUGGAAACUGGAGAACUUGAGUGCAGAAGAGGAGAG
rnacentral:rRNA from 1 species